rnacentral:rRNA from 2 species
CUGUGAGCUCGAUGAGUAGGGCGGGACACGUGGUAUCCUGUCUGAAUAUGGGGGGACCAUCCUCCAAGGCUAAAUACUCCUGACUGACCGAUAGUGAACCAGUACCGUGAGGGAAAGGCGAAAAGAACCCCGGCGAGGGGAGUGAAAAAGAACCUGAAACCGUGUACGUACAAGCAGUGGGAGCACAGAGCAAUCUGUGUGACUGCGUACCUUUUGUAUAAUGGGUCAGCGACUUAUAUUCUGUAGCAAGGUUAACCGAAUAGGGGAGCCGAAGGGAAACCGAGUCUUAACUGGGCGUUAAGUUGCAGGGUAUAGACCCGAAACCCGGUGAUCUAGCCAUGGGCAGGUUGAAGGUUGGGUAACACUAACUGGAGGACCGAACCGACUAAUGUUGAAAAAUUAGCGGAUGACUUGUGGCUGGGGGUGAAAGGCCAAUCAAACCGGGAGAUAGCUGGUUCUCCCCGAAAGCUAUUUAGGUAGCGCCUCGUGAAUUCAUCUCCGGGGGUAGAGCACUGUUUCGGCAAGGGGGUCAUCCCGACUUACCAACCCGAUGCAAACUGCGAAUACCGGAGAAUGUUAUCACGGGAGACACACGGCGGGUGCUAACGUCCGUCGUGAAGAGGGAAACAACCCAGACCGCCAGCUAAGGUCCCAAAGUCAUGGUUAAGUGGGAAACGAUGUGGGAAGGCCCAGACAGCCAGGAUGUUGGCUUAGAAGCAGCCAUCAUUUAAAGAAAGCGUAAUAGCUCACUGGUCGAGUCGGCCUGCGCGGAAGAUGUAACGGGGCUAAACCAUGCACCGAAGCUGCGGCAGCGACGCUUAUGCGUUGUUGGGUAGGGGAGCGUUCUGUAAGCCUGUGAAGGUGUACUGUGAGGUAUGCUGGAGGUAUCAGAAGUGCGAAUGCUGACAUAAGUAACGAUAAAGCGGGUGAAAAGCCCGCUCGCCGGAAGACCAAGGGUUCCUGUCCAACGUUAAUCGGGGCAGGGUGAGUCGACCCCUAAGGCGAGGCCGAAAGGCGUAGUCGAUGGGAAACAGGUUAAUAUUCCUGUACUUGGUGUUACUGCGAAGGGGGGACGGAGAAGGCUAUGUUGGCCGGGCGACGGUUGUCCCGGUUUAAGCGUGUAGGCUGGUUUUCCAGGCAAAUCCGGAAAACUAAGGCUGAGGCGUGAUGACGAGGCACUACGGUGCUGAAGCAACAAAUGCCCUGCUUCCAGGAAAAGCCUCUAAGCAUCAGGUAACAUCAAAUCGUACCCCAAACCGACACAGGUGGUCAGGUAGAGAAUACCAAGGCGCUUGAGAGAACUCGGGUGAAGGAACUAGGCAAAAUGGUGCCGUAACUUCGGGAGAAGGCACGCUGAUAUGUAGGUGAAGCGACUUGCUCGUGGAGCUGAAAUCAGUCGAAGAUACCAGCUGGCUGCAACUGUUUAUUAAAAACACAGCACUGUGCAAACACGAAAGUGGACGUAUACGGUGUGACGCCUGCCCGGUGCCGGAAGGUUAAUUGAUGGGGUCAGCGCAAGCGAAGCUCUUGAUCGAAGCCCCGGUAAACGGCGGCCGUAACUAUAACGGUCCUAAGGUAGCGAAAUUCCUUGUCGGGUAAGUUCCGACCUGCACGAAUGGCGUAAUGAUGGCCAGGCUGUCUCCACCCGAGACUCAGUGAAAUUGAACUCGCUGUGAAGAUGCAGUGUACCCGCGGCAAGACGGAAAGACCCCGUGAACCUUUACUAUAGCUUGACACUGAACAUUGAGCCUUGAUGUGUAGGAUAGGUGGGAGGCUUGGAAGUGUGGACGCCAGUCUGCAUGGAGCCGACCUUGAAAUACCACCCUUUAAUGUUUGAUGUUCUAACGUUGACCCGUAAUCCGGGUUGCGGACAGUGUCUGGUGGGUAGUUUGACUGGGGCGGUCUCCUCCUAAAGAGUAACGGAGGAGCACGAAGGUUGGCUAAUCCUGGUCGGACAUCAGGAGGUUAGUGCAAUGGCAUAAGCCAGCUUGACUGCGAGCGUGACGGCGCGAGCAGGUGCGAAAGCAGGUCAUAGUGAUCCGGUGGUUCUGAAUGGAAGGGCCAUCGCUCAACGGAUAAAAGGUACUCCGGGGAUAACAGGCUGAUACCGCCCAAGAGUUCAUAUCGACGGCGGUGUUUGGCACCUCGAUGUCGGCUCAUCACAUCCUGGGGCUGAAGUAGGUCCCAAGGGUAUGGCUGUUCGCCAUUUAAAGUGGUACGCGAGCUGGGUUUAGAACGUCGUGAGACAGUUCGGUCCCUAUCUGCCGUGGGCGCUGGAGAACUGAGGGGGGCUGCUCCUAGUACGAGAGGACCGGAGUGGACGCAUCACUGGUGUUCGGGUUGUCAUGCCAAUGGCACUGCCCGGUAGCUAAAUGCGGAAGAGAUAAGUGCUGAAAGCAUCUAAGCACGAAACUUGCCCCGAGAUGAGUUCUCCCUGACUCCUUGAGAGUCCUGAAGGAACGUUGAAGACGACGACGUUGAUAGGCCGGGUGUGUAAGCGCAGCGAUGCGUUGAGCUAACCGGUACUAAUGAACCGUGAGGCUUAACCUU